rnacentral:lncRNA from 1 species
CCUUUAAAGCAGUUAUGUCUGGUUAUGUAACGGUUUACUCACACAAAGCCCCAAAAGUAGAAUUCAUCCUGAAAUGUCCAUCAUAUGGGGCUAAACAAAGCAACUACUUUCAUGGUUAGUGGCAUUUUUCUUACAUGGAAAGACGCUUCAAGUAGUGCUCACUCUCCAAGAACAGAGAGCAUCCCCAAGGGAUUGGAAGAUAAUGAAAGUCAGGAAUACCCUACCUAGAACUGCUAGCAAACCAAAUAAGUGGAUUUUUUUCCUCAGGGAAACUAUAAUAUAAAGGGAAAAGUUGUUAAGAUGCUACCUUCUCACUCCCAGGUACUUGUAAUAAAAGUAGCAUGAGUCUUUGCA